UAAUUCCUCCACCCCCGUCUUCAUCUUGUUCACUGCCGUCGAAGUCAGCUACCACAAUACAAUGCCGACACUGACGCACACUCCCAAUCUCCCUCGCUGCGAACGUCAAUUGCUUUGAUCCCAAACUCCGACAAGCCUCAACGAUGAUCUCGUACGCUAUAUCACGGAGAUCCAAUUUUGAAAAAAACGAGCGUACAGGCGGUACAGGGAAUGCCCUCAAUUGUGUGCAUUGACAUUGCAUUUUUAUCUGUUUUAUCAGCAAAUGUUAAUUUUAUUAGAAUGUUAAUUUUGUUAAUAGAGAGGAUCGAAUAUGCAAACUCGCAUUUUAAUUGGUUGUUUCUCAUACCUCACUCUUGGGAUUGUGUCCGUACAAGUGUUACUAAACAAACAACGAAGAGUGAGAAACCUUCAUUUCUCCAUCUCGCGUGCCAUUUUCAGCACUUCCCUUUCCCUCAGUUUCGAAAAUUGUAAUGCAUCUCUAUCUAUUUCCCCUUUUUUCUUCUACACCGGUUGUUGAGAUUUGGAAGAGGCAUUGUGCAGAGCGAGAAACAGAGUUCGGAUUUCACCAUUCAAGGUGAGGAGGAUGGAGUAUUUCUGAUGAAUCUAUUAGGUAUGGUUUAGAGCAUACAUACCUCCUUGGAAGGAUUCAAUUUCUAACAUCUGAAGAAGCUGAGGUUUUAGAACUUACUGGAGCAACAGUACUUCUUGAUGGAGCCCACACCAAAGAUUCUGCCCAAGAUCUGAUGAAUACAAUAAGGAUGGCAUUUCCCGAGGCUCAAUUGGUUUUUGUUGUUGCAAUGGCAAGUGAUAAAGACCAUGUGGGAUUUGCUUGAGAGAUUCUCUCAGGUAAAGUCCGUUAAGUUGACAUUAUAAUUUAAAUAGAAGAAAGUGAAAGCCAGUCAUUUAAUAUGAGAAAGUAUUGAUUGAACGAGGAUCAAGUUGGUUUGGUUCCUUCAGACCACUAAAUUUCUGUGCCUGCCUAUAAUUUGUAUUUGUAAAUGAUUUACCCAAUAACCAAGAGCUUUUUGGGUAUAUCAUUUUCUAUUAAUUUCUGCUUAUUGAUGAUGUUUUAAGUUUUUAUUCUGGGGUCUUUGGUUAAUAUUCUGAAUGUACAAUAAGUUCUUCUAAAAUUAGGGUUGCACUUUAGAGAUAAAAAAUGCAGGGUUACAAUCACUGAUUGAAUAAAUAGUUAAGAUUGUGAUAAAAUACUUGCAUGUAUAUAACAAUUCAUGAAGUUAAAUUUCA